GGCAGAGGUUGCAGUGAGCAAAGAUCAUGCCAUUGCACUCCAGCCUGCAAUAAAAUAAAGAAAAUGUUCUUCCCGAGUGUAUAGAAAUUUUAUCUAGGAAUUGCCUGCAGGACCAUUUCAACUGUUCCCCAAACAAGGAAACCUUUAGCAUGGUACCACUUUGGGUGGUGUCUUAUUUUUCAAUGCUAACAAUUCAUUUGUAAAUGAAUGUAAAACAAGAGUUUGCACACUAAAAAUGUCUAAAGUUUCAAAAUCAUAGAUAAAAGUUAACAGUGUAGUUUCUAAUGGCAGGAAAAACCUUUAAGAUGUAGCAAUGGAACUGCAAUUUGGGAAUUUAAACUCACAACCUUCACAUGUGGAUCAAUUAACUAUUAACACAAAUCUUUUGAAAUCUCUUUAAGAUCUCUGCCCCAGGGAAAAGCAAUGAAAAAGCACUCAGCAAAAGACAACUUUUAAAAAGCAAUGCUGGGUCCAGAUUAACAGGUCAUAAGACUGACUAAAAUUCAAGAUGUAAGAAAUCAGCUAACCCCUACCUACCUCAAAAUCUGGCAAA